AUUAUUGAUUAUUGAAUCAUUAACUUUGUUCAUUUUCCUCUAGGUCUGCCUGCUAAUACGCCCCUAAAAAGUCAUCCCGCUAACAAUGAUAUUUGAGCGUACGAUCAUCACCUACCUUCAUCUCAGCUAACCAUCACAUCGUCGUCCUCCAUUUCGUCGUUGCCGCAUCACGUCGCCGUUGUUGUCCAUAUCGCCAUAUCCCUACUAUUGAGUGUGCGAUUUAUAGGAAAACACGAACUGAUCACUGAUUUGCAAAGAGAAUAGGUCAAUAUACCCUUGAAGUCAUCUCCGGCAGUCCAAAGAAUUAUCAGGGACAUCCUUCAGAAUCAUUUACUACAGGUGCUUUGCCUGGUUGCAAUGGAGAAGCCUUUUUCUUUAAUGCCUAAACAUUCUCCAUUGUGUUUGACUUGAUUCGUGGCAUAUCCAUGAGUGAGAACCAACAGGAUUAAGAAAAAGUCUGUAGAAUUUCCGAAAGCAUUUGAAAUUGGUCUACUAACAUGGAAAGCUUGAUACAAAUAUAGACUCUUAUACACAUCAAAGAUGCUGGGCGUGAAAGAAGCUUUAUGCGUAGAGAUAGAAGAUAGACCUGGAUUGCUUCUAGAAAUUGUCCAGAUAAUGGCUGAUGUCAAUAUUACUAUGGAAUCAGCAAAAAUUGAUACUAAAGGGUUGAUUGCCGAAGAUAAAUUACACUUUAGCUACAGAGGGCAACUUUAAACAGUUCUUUGUCUCAGGUGUUGACAAAUUACCUACAUUAUUGCCUUCGAAGUCAAAAACUGAUGAAGACAGUUACUAGGGAAGCACUUCCAGUUCAACACAUCUUCCAUGCAUGUCAUGUUUAAAAUUACGCAUAACUCUAUGUGCUUGUUUUUGUACACAUUUCAGAAUCAUGAAUGUAUUCUAGAAGAUAACCAUUUCCAUAAUAUAAAUAUCAUAUUUUGACUA